rnacentral:misc_RNA from 1 species
UCCGGUUUGGCACCGGCAGUCCCCCUAGAGUCCCCGGCGUGACCCGCUGGCAACUAAGGGCGAGGGUUGCGCUCGUUGCGGGACUUAACCCAACAUCUCACGACACGAGCUGACGACAGCCAUGCAGCACCUGUGCUGGGGUCCCGAAGGAGGGCCGGGGUUUCCCACGGCUUUCCCCAGCAUGUCAAGCCCAGGUAAGGUUCUUCGCGUUGCGUCGAAUUAAACCACAUGCUCCACCGCUUGUGCGGGCCCCCGUCAAUUCCUUUGAGUUUCAGCCUUGCGGCCGUACUCCCCAGGCGGGGCACUUAAUGCGUUAGCGCCGGCACCCGGGGGGUCGCUCCCCCAAGCACCUAGUGCCCAUCGUUUACGGCGUGGACUAC